UUUGACAGAAGACAAGUUUUGACGAAAAUGUGUACAUUGCAGGGUGGCUAUAAAAAGAAAGUGCUACAGUUGUCAAGAAACUCACCUGCCAUGUUUUGAUCCUCAACCCAUUAUCUGUGUUGUAAAGAUUCCGACCAUCCACAGGUUUCGUGACAGAAUCUUAGGUUGCUGGUUCAGCAGGAACAACUACUAAAAGAGUAUCACGUGACAGAAACACCAUUUGAAUACAUUGCACAUUACUACUACAACGUCAGUGGCGAUGUUUCUAUUCUAUUCAUCAAACCAUAACCGAACCUAAUUGCUUUUUACAUCUGCAUGCAAUUCAAUUUUUCUCAA